UAGGGAAUCUUCGGCAAUGGGACGAAAGUCUGACCGAGCAACGCCGCGUGAGUGAAGAAGGUUUUCGGAUCGUAAAACUCUGUUGGUAGAGAAGAACGUUGGUGAGAGUGGAAAGCUCAUCAAGUGACGGUAACUACCCAGAAAGGGACGGCUAACUACGUGUCAA
rnacentral:rRNA from 1 species